GGCUCGGUGGUGGAGUGGUCCACAUCUGCAUAUUAUAAACUGGGAGUAUUGCUCCAGCAGAAGCUGCCUGUUCGAUUCGGGCCCGAGCCA